GGGGGGGGGGGGGGGGGGGGGGGGGGGGGGCGGGGCGGAGGGGAGGGCCCUGGGGGCGUGGGGGGCUGGAGGGGGGGGCGGGGGAGGAACAGGGGAGUAGCCGGGCCUCGACUUUGGGGGAGCUGCAGGGAACUGGGGCUAAGCUAGGAUAGGCGACGCUGCGGCAGGGUGGGGGUGGGAUAGUUUCGGCGGUUGGGGAUGGACUCGGGGCUGAUCAGCGUGUUAGUGGGGUAGUGGCUGACCAAGGCUCUGACGGGUAGCCGGCCUGGGAGGGUGACCGGCAACAUUGGGACUGAGGUACGGCCCAGAGUCAUACGGGGGGCAGCAGUGGGGAGUAUUGCACAAUGGGCGGAAGCCUGAUGCAGCAACGCCGCGUGCGGGAUGACGGCCUUCGGGUUGUAAACCGCUUGCGCCUGUGACGAAGCGUGAGUGACGGUAAUGGGUAAAGAAGCACCGGCUAACUACGUG
rnacentral:rRNA from 1 species